GCCUUUUGAUAAAAAAUUUAAAUAUGAGGUCGGUCCUGCUCAAUGAAUUUUUAAAUAGCCGCAGUAAAUUGACUGUGCUAAGGUAGCAUAAUAAUUUGUCUUUUAAUUGGAGACUGGAAUGAAUGGGUUGACAUAAAAAUAUCUGUCUUAAUUUUUGUGUUUGAAUUUUAUUUUAAAGUAAAAAAGCUUUAAAAAAUUAUUUAUUAGUGUUAUUAAGGGACGAAAAGACCCUAUCAAGUUUAAUAAAAUUUAUAUUUUUAUUCUUUAAAUUUGUUUUAUUUUAUUUGUUUGGGGCGGAAUUAAUAGAUUAUCUUUUAAUAAUGUUAUGAUUAAAAAUCUAUAUUGUUGAUCUUUUAUUAGAAAUUAGAUGAUAAAAUUACUGUAGGGUUAACAGGGUUAUCUUUUUUUAGAGUUCAAAUUGAUAAAAAGGAUUACUACCUCGAUGUUGGAUUAAAAAUUGACUGGUUUAAUGAAGAAGUUAACAUAGUGAGUCUGUUCGACUUUUAAAUAUUUACA
rnacentral:rRNA from 1 species